UGCAUAUCAAUAAGCGGAGGAAAAGAAACUAACAAGGAUUCCCCUAGUAGCGGCGAGCGAAGCGGGAAGAGCUCAAAUUUAUAAUCUGGCACCUUCGGUGUCCGAGUUGUAAUCUCUAGAAGUGUUUUCCGCGUUGGACCGCACACAAGUCUGUUGGAAUACAGCGGCAUAGUGGUGAAACCCCCGUAUAUGGUGCGGACGCCCAGCGCUUUGUGAUACACUUUCAAUGAGUCGAGUUGUUUGGGAAUGCAGCUCAAAUUGGGUGGUAAAUUCCAUCUAAAGCUAAAUAUUGGCGAGAGACCGAUAGCGAACAAGUACCGUGAGGGAAAGAUGAAAAGCACUUUGGAAAGAGAGUUAACAGUACGUGAAAUUGUUGGAAGGGAAACGCUUGAAGUCAGACUUGCUUGCCGGAGCUUGCUUCGGUUUGCAGGCCAGCAUCAGUUUUCCGGGGUGGAUAAUGACGGUUUGAAGGUAGCAGUCUCGGCUGUGUUAUAGCUUUCCGUUGGAUACAUCCUGGGUGACUGAGGAACGCAGCGUGCUUUUUGCGAAAGACUC
rnacentral:rRNA from 1 species